rnacentral:rRNA from 1 species
UACGGGGGGGGUAAGCGUUGUUCGGAAUUACUGGGCGUAAAGCGCGCGUGGGCGGCUUUGCAAGUCGGGUGUGAAAUCCCCAGGCUUAACCUGGGAACUGCAUUCGAGACUGCAUUGCUAGAGUAUGGGAGAGGGAAGUGGAAUUUCCGGUGUAGCGGUGAAAUGCGUAGAUAUCGGAAGGAACAUCAGUGGCGAAAGCGACUUCCUGGACCAAUACUGACGCUCAUGUGCGAAAGCGUGGGGAGCAAACAGG